CCAGGAGGUCAGCAGCAGCUCCCAUGGCAGGCCAGGAGACAAGGGCUGAUUGUGCACAGGGGCCUUCCGCUGGGGUGGAGGCUGCAGCACCUCAGUUUCCAGUCUCACCCCUGCCCGGAGGCUGUGCUACCAAACCCCAAGGGGAGCAUGGGCUCCUGAGACACCCCUGGGCAGGGACAUGGAGAGAGAAGGGCCUGGCUGGGAACAUUAGAAGGGACCGAGGCGGCGAGAUGUCUAAAAUAGGAAGACGCCGGGGAUGCUUGGCCUGGCUGCCCGCGAUGCUGGCUGCAGGGAUCUGGCCGGGCUGUGCAGAUGGAAAAGCUAAGAGGCCUAAAAGUCGUGGAAUCAGCUGACCAUGGACUGAAACCUCUGAAACCAUGAGCCAAAAUAAAUGUUUUCUACUUUAAGUUGAUUUCCUCAGGUAUUUUGUCAUAGCACCAGCAAGCUGGCUGACACACGGUGAGGUGGAGGGAAAGCUUCACUGGAUCCUAAUCAGGGAUGAUCCCCCCUGGGUGAGG
rnacentral:lncRNA from 1 species